rnacentral:rRNA from 1 species
CCCUUAGACGUUCUGGGCCGCACGCGCGCUACACUGACCAGUGCAACAAGCAUCCGUCCUUGGCCGACAGGCUCGGGCAAUCUUUGAACGCUGGUCGUGAUGGGGAUAGACUUUUGCAAUUUUUGGUCUUCAACGAGGAAUUCCUAGUAAACGCAAGUCAUCAACUUGCAUUGAUUACGUCCCUGCCCUUUGUACACACCGCCCGUCGCACCUACCGAUUGAAUGGUCCGGUGAAGCCUCCGUAUUGGCGCGCACCUCGGUGCCGCCGAGAAGUUGGCUAAACCUUACCAUUUAGAGGAAGGUGAAGUCGUAACA